rnacentral:rRNA from 1 species
GACGAACGCUGGCGGCGUGCCUAACACAUGCAAGUCGAACGGAAAGGCCCUGCUCUUGCGGGGGGCUCGAGUGGCGAACGGGUGAGUAACACGUGAGUAACCUGCCCUUGACUUUGUGAUAACUUCUCGAAACUCGGGCUAAUACCCGAUAUGAUCUCCUGCUGCAUGGUGUGGGUUGGAAAGUUACGGCGGUUGGGGAUGGACUCGCGGCUUAUCCGCUUGUUGGUGGGGUAGGGGCUUUCCAAGGUUUUGACGGGAAGCCGGCCUGAGAGGGUGACCGGCGUCAAUGGGACUAAGGGACGGCCCAGAAUCCUACGGGAGGCAGCAGUGGGGAAUCUUGCAGAAUGGGCCGACGUCUGAUGCGGCAACGCCGCGUGCGGGAUGACGGCUUUCGGGUUAAGAACCACUUUGGACUGUGACGAGCCGUGAGUGACGGUACUGAGUAAAGAAGCCCCGGCUAACUACGUG